rnacentral:rRNA from 1 species
GAUGAACGCUGGCGGCGUGCCUAAUACAUGCAAGUCGAGCGAACAGACGAGGAGCUUGCUCCUUUGACGUUAGCGGCGGACGGGUGAGUAACACGUGGAUAACCUACCUAUAAGACUGGGAUAACUUCGGGAAACCGGAGCUAAUACCGGAUAAUAUAUUGAACCGCAUGGUUCAAUAGUGAAAGACGGUUUUGCUGUCACUUAUAGAUGGAUCCGCGCCGCAUUAGCUAGUUGGUAAGGUAACGGCUUACCAAGGCGACGAUGCGUAGCCGACCUGAGAGGGUGAUCGGCCACGCUGGAACUGAGACACGGUCCAGACUCCUACGGGAGGCAGCAGUAGGGAAUCUUCCGCAAUGGGCGAAAGCCUGACGGAGCAACGCCGCGUGAGUGAUGAAGGUCUUCGGAUCGUAAAACUCUGUUAUUAGGGAAGAACAAAUGUGUAAGUAACUAUGCACGUCUUGACGGUACCUAAUCAGAAAGCCACGGCUAACUACGUG